rnacentral:rRNA from 1 species
GUAGGUGGCAAGCGUUGUCCGGAAUUAUUGGGCGUAAAGCGCGCGCAGGCGGUUCUUUAAGUCUGAUGUGAAAGCCCACGGCUCAACCGUGGAGGGUCAUUGGAAACUGGAGAACUUGAGUACAGAAGAGGAAAGCGGAAUUCCACGUGUAGCGGUGAAAUGCGUAGAGAUGUGGAGGAACACCAGUGGCGAAGGCGGCUUUCUGGUCUGUAACUGACGCUGAGGCGCGAAAGCGUGGGGAGCAAACAGGGAUUAGAUACCCUGGUAGUCCACGCCGUAAACGAUGAGUGCUAAGUGUUAGGGGGGUUUCCGCCCCCUUAGUGCUGCAGCUAACGCAUUAAGCACUCCGCCUGGGGAUACGGCCGCAGGCUG